rnacentral:tRNA from 1 species
GCCCAGGUGGCGGAGUGGUUAACGCGCUGGAUUGCUAAUCCAGUUUCCUUCGGGAUUCACAGGUUCGAAUCCUGUCCUGGGCG